CAAACCCCCCGGCAUGCCUGCUGCCCUCGCGCACCGCCGCACGCAGGUGUUUCAUGCCGCAGCCGCCCACGCGGGAAGCGAGCCCUCGUUCCCUCGCUCCUAUAAACGGAGCUUUGAGGAGAAGAAGUGAGAUAGGGUGAAAGAGUUCCUCGCUUCUAUGGACCUUUGGGGAACGGCAGAAACACAGGGGAAAAGACGUAGCGAAAGGGUGCGGAAGAAGAGGGCAGCAAAGGGGUGAGGGUGAAGUCGUGAGGGAGAAGAAGAGAGGAGAAGAACACUACUCUACCCAAAUCCGACCAAAGCUUCUCGUCCUCGUCUCCGACGUCCGGUCGCGAUCUCUGUCGCAGGCCGGUCACUGUGCUCAUUGCAGCGGCCGCGGAGAACAAGAGAAAGUUGACUGGUCAACUAUGAUCAACCAUAGUCAACAGAGGUGUAAUUGGAGCAGUUAUCAAGCUUAGAGUGGUCAUUUAUUUAUCACUGUUGUGAUACUAGUAUGAUCUGCUUGUGCUUACUGUACCUUAAUAUACAAAGAGAUGCUGCCAUGAGGCAUGUUCGUGCUGGUCGUCACAUUGCCAAAGGUAUUUAUGUCGGAGGCAUCCAAAAAUAAUUGUGGGCUCGCUACCUACGUAGAAGGAUACCAUUUGAAGCAUGCGUACCUGUGAAGUUUACUGCCGCCUUCUCCAAGAACCAUUCUUGGUACUUGCAUCUGCCCGCAGCUGCCGAGUCUCCUUCCACCGUUGCAAACGGCAUUGAAGGCGCCGCUUGAUAUGGCAACAUCUGCCUCAAAAAAUGUUUUAUCUCGCACACCAAUUCAGAUUCGGUGCCAGCCCACCGUUUUGGCCUCCUGGUCUUUUAAGUUUUCUAAUGCUCAUCUACUCUCCUGAUAGAUAGACUGCGAGAAGAAACCACGCCAGUAUUUGGUAUAGGAUGUACAUGUCACCUCUCGCACAUGCAGUAUCUGUCAGAUAUUAAAUGCCUCAUCUCCUCCCAUGGAUCCAUUUUGGCCUUGUUUGCUUUCUUCGUCUCUAUAAAUUCUUCCCCUGUGAAUGCUUCGUCUAAUCACAGUCUUGAAGGUCUAAAACCACACAAUGGAGGGUUUAUGGUGGAAGCACUCCGGUUUUGAACACUGGCUUCUCUGCGUGAAAAUUGUGAGGAAAGUAGCCUUCGCUGUCCUUACUUGCACCUUUGCUUUGUGUGGAUCCUUGGUUGGGUUGAUAUCAGGUGCAGUCAAGGGCCAAACUACAGAGACUGGCCUGUUCCGAGGUGCUGGGAUUGGAGCAAUUUCCGGCGCAAUCGUCUCGGUUGACGUCUUGGAAUCCUGCUUCCAGGGAGAGAUUUUAUCCAAGCUAGACAUCUUUGACAGCCUUCUUGAUGGAAAGAUAUUUCGAGAAUGGGUCAGCCCAGCAUUGCUCAAAGCAUACCAAUGGCAAGAAUUCUUAGUUUUAUAGUUUAACACAAGCAACAGAAACAUUAUCGGAGCGACUAAUAGCAGAUCCUUAAUCUAAGAUCAAUGCAACCGAACCCAGCUACAGAGACAGUUCAGAUAUCUUUGAUGUAAACAAGGACAAGGGUCUAUUACCAAAUGUUAUCAGAAAGUUGCCCAUGUUUGAGAUCAGUCCUAAGGAGACAAUUGAUUCUUGUGGGAAGACAAUAUGCUGUGCCGUCUGCCUGCAGGAUUUCAUCAACGGUGAAGACGCAAGAAGAUUGCCAAUUUGUACACACCUUUUUCAUGCGGUCUGCAUUGAUUUGUGGCUUGUAAAACAUGGUUCCUGCCCUACUUGCAGGCAAGAGGUUUCAGGCUGGAGUUAAUAUCUGGCAAUCUGAAAUUCUCUGAGUUAAAAGAUUGCAUAAUCCUGAGAAAUAAUGUUGGAUGCACAUUCAAUGUGAACAAAGCUAAUAUAGUUUCAUCUUGCAGAGUUAACAGAGAAAAGCAACUAGAAACCCCUGGCAAAAAUGCACAAAAAUCUUUAUAGUUGGAAUGACAAGCUGCUGGUUUUGGUUGGCAAUUCUUUGUCGAAUUUAACCAAUCAAAAAAAUUUUUUUUUUUGCUAA